AUGCCCCAUACAAGUUUGUUUGUUCCAGAGUCAGAGAGCCGUGUCUCUGUACAGUCAGAGGUUUUUGUACGGCGGUUCAAUGAGUUUGUAUCACUGUGGUUCACGUUCGGUGGAGGAACCAGACUGGAGUUUGGAAGUGAUGUUCGUCCCACCCUGACAGUCCUGCUCCCCUCCAGCGACGACCUGCAGACGGGUAAUGUCACACUCAUGUGUCUGGCCAACAAGGGCUUCCCCUCAGACUGGAGUCUGUCCUGGAAGGUGGACGGCUGCAGUAAAAACUGCUAUGAGGAGAGCAGGAGCCUCGGACUGCUGCAGAAGGACGGCCACUACAGCUGGAGCAGCACCCUGAGGGUCCCUGCAGACCAGUGGAUGAGGGUGGGAUUUCUGACCUGUGAGGCUACCAGGGAAUCCCAGACUCCAGUUUCAGAGAUACUGAGGAGAGACCAGUGUUCCCAGUACUGACCUGACUCACUGGGACUUCACUCUGUAUUCAUCAACUUUCUCUUUGUCUUUCUCCUACUUUUAUAAUAAUUCAUAUGUUAUUUGCAUAAAUAAUUAAAACCUUAUAACUGAUUUUACUCUGCUUUGAUAUUUACUGUUUUUAUACUCUUACUGAUGGAUUUAAACAUUAUAUAAAAUCUGUUAACACAUCAGUAUUUUUCUUUCUCUUCAGUUACACAUCAGAUGUUUCUGAUCAGUGCAGCUCUGGUUGUUUUAAAGCAAUAAAGACAUUUU